GAGUUUGAUCCUGGCUCAGGACGAACGCUGGCGGCGUGCCUAACACAUGCAAGUCGAACGGAGUUGAAAGGAGCUUGCUUUUUUCAACUCAGUGGCGGACGGGUGAGUAACGCGUGAGUAACCUGCCUUUCAGAGGGGGAUAACGUUCUGAAAAGAACGCUAAUACCGCAUAAGAUUGUAGUUUCGCAUGGAGCAGCAAUCAAAGGAGCAAUCCGCUGAAAGAUGGACUCGCGUCCGAUUAGAUAGUUGGCGGGGUAACGGCCCACCAAGUCGACGAUCGGUAGCCGGACUGAGAGGUUGAUCGGCCACAUUGGGACUGAGACACGGCCCAGACUCCUACGGGAGGCAGCAGUGAGGGAUAUUGGGCAAUGGGGGAAACCCUGACCCAGCAACGCCGCGUGAGGGAUGACGGUUUUCGGAUUGUAAACCUCUGUCCUCUGUGAAGAUAGUGACGGUAGCAGAGGAGGAAGCUCCGGCUAACUACGUGCCAGCAGCCGCGGUAAUACGUAGGGAGCAAGCGUUGUCCGGAUUUACUGGGUGUAAAGGGUGCGUAGGCGGAUUGGCAAGUCAGAAGUGAAAUCCAUGGGCUUAACCCAUGAACUGCUUUUGAAACUGUUAGUCUUGAGUGAAGUAGAGGUAGGCGGAAUUCCCGGUGUAGCGGUGAAAUGCGUAGAGAUCGGGAGGAACACCAGUGGCGAAGGCGGCCUACUGGGCUUUAACUGACGCUGAGGCACGAAAGUGUGGGUAGCAAACAGGAUUAGAUACCCUGGUAGUCCACACUGUAAACGAUGAUUACUAGGUGUGGGGGGUCUAACCCCCUCCGUGCCGGAGUUAACACAAUAAGUAAUCCACCUGGGGAGUACGACCGCAAGGUUGAAACUCAAAGGAAUUGACGGGGGCCCGCACAAGCAGUGGAGUAUGUGGUUUAAUUCGAAGCAACGCGAAGAACCUUACCAAGUCUUGACAUCCUUCUGACCGGUACUUAACCGUACCUUCUCUUCGGAGCAGGAGUGACAGGUGGUGCAUGGUUGUCGUCAGCUCGUGUCGUGAGAUGUUGGGUUAAGUCCCGCAACGAGCGCAACCCUUAUCCUUAGUAGCCAGCGGUCCGGCCGGGCACUCUAGAGAGACUGCCAGGGAUAACCUGGAGGAAGGCGGGGAUGACGUCAAAUCAUCAUGCCCCUUAUGACUUGGGCUACACACGUGCUACAAUGGCGUAAACAAAGGGAAGCAAAGCUGUGAAGCCGAGCAAAUCUCAAAAAUAACGUCUCAGUUCGGACUGUAGUCUGCAACCCGACUACACGAAGCUGGAAUCGCUAGUAAUCGCAGAUCAGAAUGCUGCGGUGAAUACGUUCCCGGGUCUUGCACACACCGCCCGUCA
rnacentral:rRNA from 1 species